CUGCAUGACCCAGUUGGGAACAAGGAUCCCAUGUUGAUUGACUCCCCACCUUGACAAGUAUCUUGUUGUUGGGAUGACCAGCAUGUGACUAUUGGGACAAGAUAGAAGUAUUUACAAAGCCAACAGUUUUGACCAAUUUAUGCGAAUUAGGGCAGAUUUGAGAGUACACUUAAGAGUUUUAAACUUUGUUUGAAAAAACAAAAAACAGUGUUCUUGGAAUAGUUUCUUUGGAGUAGAGCGCAUAAGGCCAAAUUUUAUCUGAUUGUUGGUGAGCACCUGUGGGUUUUUGUGUUCCUUAUGUAGUAUCCCUUAGGUUUGGGUCGAACAAUGUAAACCUUAUCAUUUCCACUGUUUUUAACAUCUCAAAUGAUGUCCCACGUCCUAGGUGCCAAUCCACAAAUGCCCACUCCUACAUCUUCUCCCUCCUCCCUCCAUUUUGCCACUAUGAUGCUGCUCUAAACUCACCCAACUUUUCGAAACCCACCACUCCAGCCUCCUCCUACGUUCGAGCAUCACAUCUCCACAGGACCAAGGGCCUUCCAUCCCAUUGGUUUCAAAUAAUGCCAUCCUCUGAUAUAUAUUGGUUGGUGGUCUAUUUUCUGGGAAGCUCUGGGUCAUCAGCCAGCAUAUAUUGUUCUUCCUCUAUUGCAGGACCUCUCUGUCACAGGACAUCCACUGUUUAAGCACCACCACUACCUCAGGAAGUCCACUGUCUGUGUGUCAACUCCCACUGUUACAGGACCACAAGUGUCUCAGCACUUCAACUAUCACAGCACUUCUACUGUUCAGGAGCUCAAGAGUCUCAGCAUCUCAAGUGUCACAGGACCUCCUUUGUCCAAGAACUGGACUGUCCAAGCAAUACUGCUAUUGCGGGACCUCCACUGUCACAGGAUUUCCACUGUAGGAGCACUACAACUGUCUCAGGACACCCACUGUCCUAUAACCUCCACUAUCCCAGGAAUUCCACUGUCGUAGCACCACCCGUAGCAACUAAAGUGUUUCAGGACAUCAACUGAAGCAAGAUCUCCCAUGAUUCUGCAACUUCACUGCCCCAGGAUCUCUACAGUGACAGGAAUACUUCUGUAUCAGCAAUUCCAAUUUUGCAGGACCUCCACUGUAGCAGAACCUCAAUUGUGCAGCAGCUCCCCUGUAUGUAGAUUGACCUCCACGAUCUCAGUGCCUCCACUUUCAAAGGACCUUCACUGUCACAGAACCGGCGCUAUUUCAGUGCCUCCACUGUCGCAGGACCUACCUCUUCACAGGAUCUGCACUGUUGCAGCAACUGUAAUUUCAAUUUUUCAAAGUCAUUGCUGGUUAUUAGAUUUCAGGCUGAAUGAAAUGAGAUGUUACUUUUGAAAGCAUAAGAAUUUGUUCUAUACCUCUUGUGAUAAAUGCCGUGUUUGCUAGGACCAGUAAACUAUGGAAGACUUCUUCAGCUCAUACCACUCUCCACCUCACUUUGUGGAAGCUGGUGUUUUUAGAGUGUGAUAAACUUCAGGUGAAUGGAUGCAUUCAGCUGCACCACGCUCUAGAGUGGACUACACAGCAGUCAUAUUGAGUCCUUGCUGGGAAGAGAAGAAAUCCAGAAGAAGGAGAAGGCUUGGGUUGGGGGAAGAAUCAUAAAAUACUUAGAGGAUAUUAGAAGGUAAGAAUUAUGGGGAACUGGAAAACAGAGCCAAAGGAAGAAUGAGCACAGAGCAAACUGGGAAGGACAAAGUACAAAGGCACUUGGGUUUUGCCAUCUGCGUGUUCUCUGGACAAUCUCCCUGGGCCACAUUUCUGGGAGAAAACUCUUCCCCCACCCCCUUGUAAGGUUUCAUUCUUGAAGGAAAGCAGCAACACAACUUCAUCAGUGAAUUUCCCCAUUGGAAUUGGUUCAUCCUUUAAUGCUUCUGGGAAAUCCCGAGCUGGGGAAUGUCCUGCUCUCUGCUGAGAGACAGCAGGAAAGUAGGUCGUCCUCUGUUUUCUCGUUGCUACAGCUCUUCUAAGUAUGGCUGAUUGUUGAGUGAAGACACAGGAUACUUCUGGUGUGUAUGUAUGCUUUGUUCACUGUGGGUGUUGUUGGGAGUGUCCUGAAAAGAAGGGCAUGCCCAAUGGCACUUCUGCUUCCUCUUUGACUAGCCUUAUGAUCAUAGGGAGACACUAGGCCAUUGGAAGAUGAGGAGAGCAAUGUGUCUAAGUUGUGUUCACUUCUAUUCCUAUUUAGUCCUAGAGGGAAAUCAGCAAGGGUGUGAGGAAUGCUGCUGUGCACUGACUGUGUGGUGUGAGGAAUGCUGCUGUGCACUGACUGUGUGGUGUGAGGAAUGCUGCUGUGCACUGACUGUGUGGUGUGAGGAAUGCUGCUGUGCACUGACUGUGUGGUGUGAGGAAUGCUGCUGUGCACUGACUGUGUGCUGUGAGGAAUGCUGCUGUGCAUUGACGCUGCCUUUUUUCUUUUCUCCCUACACCUGCAUCCUUCUGGUGGCUCAGGUUGGACAACUAGGUGCCCAUGACCAACUCCUCAUUGUGGAUGGAUUUAGUCUGGUUGGACUUUCUCAGGAAAGGCAGCUGAACUCAUGACUAGUACCAGUUCCACGGUUACCCUGGAAGUUGCAAAUCAAGACAUCCUCUCUCACUGCCUGUCCACCUUUCUUACCAACCCAUUGUCCUCCAUGGUGCAGAGAGGUGUGUGCAGCCGUGCCAGUCUUGUUCACCAUGGGAUGGAAGCGGUCCCUGACCUGUGAGCCUAGAGGUGACCAGGUGCUCCAUUCUGAGACUGAGAGAGGCAGGAUGCCCACUCAAGGGUCCAUAGCAGGGAAGGUUUUCAAGCUAUGUACAGUGCUGGAAAAGCCUACACAGGGCAUACAGUUAGCAGUGAUGUGUUUGCAGGGAGUCCAAGGAACCAGCUUUGUACUGAUGCAGGCCUGUCAUCAGUGCCUUGGCGUUUGUGGGACUCAUCCACAGAGGCAUGCAACUCAGAGAACGGUACCCCAACUUGGUGCACAGGAACUCUUUCAGGUGUCACUUGAUUGUCACAGGUUUCUGCUCGGUCAGCAAGGAAGGGAAGCCUAGCCCUGUGCCAGGAAUGACUGCAUAUGGUCAACACACACUACCCUGGAAGACCCGAGAGUUCAAGGACGGCCAACUUUCACUUAAGCAAACUUGUCCACAGACUGCGUGGGUCCCAUCAGCUGAGAGUAGCCUCCACAUUGCAGUGAUGUGCAAACUUCUGCCUUUCAGCCAUGAUGGACUUUAGGAUCUAACCUGAGGACCCUACACAAGGCACAGGUAGGUGAUGUGUAAAUGAGGCAUGUUACUGGGUCAGGUCUUCAGUGCAGUGUCUUAAGCUGUCAGGCUUUUGGGAGGGCAUAUGCUUCUCUAUUAAAUGAGCUGGCUUCUCUGAAGGCCUCAACUCUGCUGUGUCUGCCGCUCAUGCUCCCUCCUCCAAGAAUCUAACUGUCCCUAGCUCUCUGUGACUGGCUGGUCAGUCAGCCUUCAUGCCACUCCACAGCCACUCUACAACACAGAGCCCACACUGUCCUCUGCAGAAGUUUCACAGGGCUGCUGCUUUAGUCUCUCUGUUGCGCUAUGGGGGUCCAAAGUCAAGUUUCUUAGGUCCCUAGGUGUCCCUGAAAAGGCUCUAGAACAAGGAAGAGGUGAAGAAAUCAGGAAAUAAACUCCUGCAGUACUUCAUGACUACCACUGGAGGGCUCUACACCUUUCUGGUCCUAGUGUGCCACUCAGCAAGCCCUCUCACUCACUCUAAGGUUCUGAGCCUGAUGGAGAGGACUCCUGCUAAACCCAGUGUUCCCAAGAAACUGGCUGUACCGGCAGGGCUAACUGUAGAGGAUUCUCCACGACCCUGAGAACACAAUUUGGAAAUCUCAGGUAGGCAGGGUGUGUGGGGGAGCAACCAGGGCUGGAUGGAGACCUUACCCAGAA
rnacentral:sRNA from 1 species